UACGAAGGGGGCUAGCGUUGCUCGGAAUCACUGGGCGUAAAGGGUGCGUAGGCGGGUUUUUAAGUCAGGGGUGAAAUCCUGGAGCUCAACUCCAGAACUGCCUUUGAUACUGAAGAUCUCGAGUCCGGGAGAGGUGAGUGGAACUGCGAGUGUAGAGGUGAAAUUCGUAGAUAUUCGGAAGAACACCAGUGGCGAAGGCGACUUACUGGACACAUAUUGACGCUGAGGUGCGAAAGCGUGGGGAGCAAACAGG
rnacentral:rRNA from 1 species